CAGAAACUGAAAGAAGCCUGUCAUAUAUAUAUAUAUAUAUAUAUAUAUAUAUAUAGUAUGUAUGUGUUGUGUCUGUGUUUGUACCCCACUACUGCUUGACAACUGAUGUUGGUGUGUUUAACCACCCACCCCUGUGACUUAGCGGUGGGGCAAAGGACACUGACAGAAUAAACAGGAGGCUUUACAAAACUGAGUGCUAGCUGUGGUCAAGUGAGAGAAAGAAGUAAAAGAUAAGAGAAAAGGUAGGAAGGGCAUCCAGCCAUAGCAACCCUGCCUAAUCAGAUUGGAACCUGGUGCAGCCCUCCUGUUUACCAGUUUCAGUCAAGUUGUCCAACCCAUGCCAGCAUGGAAAGCAGACACUACAUGAUGAUGAUGAUGAUGAUAUAUAUAUACUUGGGAAUGGUCGUAUUUUGCCAAUUUGUUUUUCGGUUGAGCUUAUUAAUAUUUUAAGAGGAGACACAUGGGAUGGAGAGUGACUGAAGAGGUCACAGGAUGUGUGAGGAAAGAGCUGAGAUGGAAAAUAAUAAGAAUGAAGGGAAGAGUGCAUUUGGUUAAUUGGCAAACAUAUGACCAUCCCCAAGGAUAACAAUGUCUGUUUCAACACACAAUUUCACAUCAGGAAUCUUGUGAAACAAUCAAAUAAAUGUGUGUGUGUGGAUAGCUUUGUUAGAUAUUGUAGAAUUCAUGUUGACUGCAACUUCGUUUCAUCAACCAGUCACUGUUCUGUUGUCAUUCUUUAUCUUGCUUAAAAAUAAUGACUUCAUGUUAAUUACACACACACACACACACACACAGGUGUUUGCUAAGCUUGUUACAAUGCAGAAAAUGUAUUUCUUAAAAGGUUAUUGAGAGAGAGAGAGAGAAAUCUCUGGCUUCUCAUCUCUUGUAUUGCAUUGUAAAGAUCUUCCAGAAGCAAACCAUUCCUUAUGCUGCAUUGCUUCGGCCCAAAACCUGCGCUCUGUCAUAUAUGCAUGCACAAGUGCCUUUUCUAAUCUGUGUUUCUAUGUUCAUGCUUGCCUCUGCUUCUACGCGCAUUAGAUGCUGUCGAUAGGCUGAGAGGGACUGACGUUCCUUCCAGGAGAUAGAUUUUACUUCACUUCGCUUCAUCACGCCUUUCCUCAAUUUUUCUGCUGAAAUUGGUAUUGUUGUUGAGAGAUGCACAAGGUCACCUUGGAAUGUUACUGUCCUAUGUCUGCUUUCCUAUCCAAGGCAUGUGUGUGGUGUGUGCUCUCUCUCUCUCUCUCUACUUUUUAUUCUUCACUAUUCUACAGACAAAGGACACACGGACACGGACACACACACAUAUAUAUCUCCUCACUUUAGCUCUACAAUACGACUGUAAGGUGUGUGAUGACAUUAAUGGCCAGGUACCAGCUGAUGGUAUGGUGAUGGUAUGGAAGUGAUAACAUGAUUGUGUAUCACAGGAUGGUAUGGUGAUUGGAGGUGGGUGGAUGGCUGAAAGUAAGGUGGUAGUACGAGGCAGUAUGGAGAGAGUGAGAGAGUAAGGUGAUGGUAUGUGAUGUGUUUAUGGUAUGCAAAUGGUAUGAUGAGGGUAUGGUAUUGUUACAGUGAUGGUAUGGCUUUGUUACAUGACUCUCUCUCUCUCUCUCUUUUCUCUGCCCUCUCAUCGUUUCUCUUCCCAUCUUCUUCUACAGCAACACCCAUUCUUCAGACACAUCAACUGGAAGGAUCUUGCCGAUCGCAAAAUCGAGCCCCCGUUCCGGCCUUAUAUUAGGGGAGAUGAAAUAUUAGCCAUCUUGA
rnacentral:lncRNA from 1 species